AACGAACGCUGGCGGCAGGCUUAACACAUGCAAGUCGAGCGCCCCGCAAGGGGAGCGGCAGACGGGUGAGUAACGCGUGGGAAUCUACCCAUCUCUACGGAAUAACGCAUGGAAACGGGUGCUAAUAUCGUAUACGUCCUUCGGGAGAAAGAUUUAUCGGAGAUGGAUGAGCCCGCGGUGGAUUAGCUAGUUGGUGGGGUAAAGGCCUAGUAAGGCGACUAUCCAUAGCUGGUCUGAGAGGAUGAUCAGCCACACUGGGGCUGAGACACGGCCCAGACUCCUACGGGAGGCAGCAGUGGGGAAUAUUGGACAAUGGGCGCAAGCCUGAUCCAGCCAUGCCGCGUGAGUGAUGAAGGCCCUAGGGUUGUAAAGCUCUUUCACCGGUGAAGAUAAUGACGGUAACCGGAGAAGAAGCCCCGGCUAACUUCGUGCCAGCCGCCGCCGUAACAC
rnacentral:rRNA from 1 species